UUUCUUUAUGUUGAUGGGGGAGAUUGCUUGGGCAAUGAUUUGGAAGGAAAUAUGGUGUUGUUGAUUCCCUAGGUUUGGCAUGAGGAAUAUUCCAACAUAACAUUCUUUGUACACCUUUAGAGUAGGUUUGUCAUGAACUCAUGAUAUCUAAUAUACUUCCAAUCUUAUGAAACUUAAUGCAUUAGUGUCUGUAAGUGAAGUAUUUACUAUUCAUGUAUUAAGCACCAUCGAGUUUGUAGUGAGAGAAGCAUAUAUAACUAACUCUGCUUCUUAUCAAUAUGUAACAGGUAUAUAUGGCUACCUCAGCCAAAAAGGCUAUGGUUGUCCAUGUUAUGAAAAUAUUAUCUGCAGAUGUCAUUUGUUUUAUUGAUAUUUUAGUUUCCUGACCAUUAGUCUCUGUUCAUGACCGUCAUUUUGUUGUGGAAUUGAUUUGCUUUCAUUAUUAUUAAUUGCAUUGUGUGUUAAAAUAGUGGAAAGAGUUUGUUACUUACUGUUGUACUUUAGUUCAGAUACUAAAGUACACUCCUCAAACAAUUAUGAUUUUUAGUUUUAAGUUCUAGUAUUAAUAAUUGCAUGGAAUUCAAAAAGAUAGUUUGAGUUUGUUUAGGAUUAUUUUCUUUGAAAGGGACGAUGUUGUUCUAUGAGCUGAGAUGUUGGCCCCAUUGGCAUUGGAACUUGAAGAAGAAAGAUAGAUUUGUUUAGGGUGAAAUCAGAAGGAAGUGUGGGAUAGAUAUGCAGGGCAAUAUAUUUCAAUCUUUAUGUAUUUGUUUAGUAUAUGUCUGUGAGAUUGGAGACUGAUCAGCAGUAUGAUUUAUUAGGUUUCAGUAAUUUCUGUUCUCAAGUUAGGUCCUUUUAUGAGAAAUUUAAGAGAAGCAAUUCCAUUUAAGGUUUGAAGUAAGAUUUAAAAUGUUGUUUGACAGGGCAAUCGUGAUGGGCCUGAUGCUUCAUACCAACACAAAGCAACUGAUUAGAGGACAAAAUUACCAAGAUGCAUUGGAAGUGCUCAGCAUUGGGGAGUCAUUACAAAAAUUUGACAAGGACAGGAAGCACUGAGAGCUUUCGGUAUGGUACAUAUCCCAAUCAAGAACUUCAUGGCUUGAUACCUGAUCAAUUAUGAAGAAGAUGAAGUGGUGGCUGAAGGAAAGAUAUCUUCAACAAACCCAAGUACAAGAGUAAACCGGGAAGUAAUCUGCUGUACUAGAUGCCCAAAGAAUUCAGAACUUUGUGAUGCAUGUUUUGUAAAGAAUUAUGUAUCAGAACUUCAAUGAAAUGUAUAUUUUUCUUUUA